rnacentral:rRNA from 1 species
UACGUAGGGUGCGAGCGUUGUCCGGAAUUAUUGGGCGUAAAGGGCUCGUAGGCGGUUUGUCGCGUCGGGAGUGAAAUCCACUGGCUUAACUGGUGGCUUGCUUUCGAUACGGGCAGACUGGAGGUAUGCAGGGGAGAACGGAAUUCCUGGUGUAGCGGUGAAUGCGCAGAUAUCAGGAGGAACACCGGUGGCGAAGGCGGUUCUCUGGGCAUGUCCUGACGCUGAGGAGCGAAGUGUGGGGAGCGAACAGG